GAUCAGCCACACUGGGACUGAGACACGGCCCAGACUCCUACGGGAGGCAGCAGUGAGGAAUUUUCCGCAACGAGCGAAACCCUCGUCUUGAGUUGCCAGCAAGUAAAGUUGGGAACUCUCAAGAGACCGCCGAUGAUAAAUCGGAGGAAGGUGGGGAUGACGUCAAGUCUUCAUGUCUCUUACAUCCUGGGCUACACACGUACUACAAUGCUGUGGACAAAGGGCAGCAAACGAGCGAUCGUAAGCAAAUCCCAUAAACCACGGCUCAGUUCAGAUCGCAGGCUGCAACUCGCCUGCGUGAAGGUGGAAUCGCUAGUAAUUCCAGAUCAGCAUUGCUGGAGUGAAUUCGUUCCCGGGUCUUGUACACACCGCCCGUCACACCACGGAAGUUGGUUUUGCCCGAAGUAGUUACCCUAACCGCAAGGAGGGGGAUGCCGAAGGCAGGACUGGUGACUGGGGUGAAGUCGUAACAAGGUAGCCGUACCGGAAGGUGUGGCUGGAUCACCACCUUAAC
rnacentral:rRNA from 1 species